rnacentral:rRNA from 1 species
UACGUAGGGUGCAAGCGUUGUUCGGAUUUACUGGGCGUAAAGGGCGCGCAGGCGGCUCAUUUUGUCAGGCGUGAAAGCCCCGGGCUUAACCUGGGAGGUGCGUUUGAUACGGAUGGGCUAGAGUUCGGGAGAGGAGAGUGGAAUUCCCAGUGUAGAGGUGAAAUUCGUAGAUAUUGGGAAGAACACCGGUGGCGAAGGCGGCUCUCUGGACCGAGACUGACGCUGAGGCGCGAAAGCGUGGGGAGCAAACAGG